CUCAGUCGAGUGUAUUCCUCCGGGAGUAUAAUCUACUGAGGAGGGGAGGAUCCUAUGGUCCUUUCAAUAUAUUACCACUUCUUUGUGAAUAAGGGUGGAUUAUAUGCCAAGAGAAUUGUAGAAAUC
rnacentral:rRNA from 1 species